UACGAAGGGGGCUAGCGUUGCUCGGAAUCACUGGGCGUAAAGCGCACGUAGGCGGAUUGCUAAGUCAGGGGUGAAAUCCUGGAGCUCAACUCCAGAACUGCCUUUGAUACUGGCGACCUUGAGUCCGGGAGAGGUGAGUGGAACUGCGAGUGUAGAGGUGAAAUUCGUAGAUAUUUGCAAGAACACCAGUGGCGAAGGCGGCUCACUGGCCCGGUAUUGACGCUGAGGAGCGAAAGCCAGGGGAGCAAACGGG
rnacentral:rRNA from 1 species